GUUAGGAAUAUUGGACAAUGGGCGAAAGCCUGAUCCAGCAAUGCCGCGUGUGUGAAGAAGGCCUUCGGGUUGUAAAGCACUUUUGGCAGGGAAGAAACAGUGCGUGCUAAUACCAUGCGCGAAUGACGGUACCUGCAGAAUAAGCACCGGCUAACUACGUGCCAGCAGCCGCGGUAAUACGUAGGGUGCAAGCGUUAAUCGGAAUUACUGGGCGUAAAGCGUGCGCAGGCGGCUUUGUAAGACGGAUGUGAAAGCCCCGGGCUCAACCUGGGAAGUGCAUUCGUGACUGCAAGGCUAGAGUGUGUCAGAGGGAGGUGGAAUUCCGCGUGUAGCAGUGAAAUGCGUAGAGAUGCGGAGGAACACCGAUGGCGAAGGCAGCUACCUGGUCGAGUACUGACACUGAGACACGAAAGCAUGGGGAUCAAACAGGAUUAGAAACCCCGGUAGUCC
rnacentral:rRNA from 1 species